AUGUGGAGGACAGUUGGGUGCGUGCUGGGAACUGACCUUUGCCCGAACAACAUCUGGCAGUAUUUUUCUUGGUGCUUUUGCUUCCUACCCGAUGGGGAGAGAUUCUAUACUUUUGGACUGGCCGCUCUUUGUUGGGCCAUGUGGAAUUGCCGUAAUAGAAUGACCUUUGAAUUCAAGAAGAUGAAUUCUCCUUUUGAUGUGAUCUAUGUUGCUUGUGGCUUUAUGACUUAUUGGGCAGGUAUGCUGAAGGGAGAAGACCGCGAAGCAAUGGAGAGGGGAGCCAAGAUGCUGAGAGGCAAUGCUGGGAACAUGAUGCGCAUUUGCGCGGCCCCGGGGAGGAUCAACUGA
rnacentral:rRNA from 1 species